rfam:Myotis brandtii contig181940, whole genome shotgun sequence.
UUUGCACCAGGGGGGUCCCUCGGCCAGGCCUGCACCCUCUCGCAAUCUGGGACCCAUCGGGGGAUAUCAGAGAGCCAGUUUCAGUCCGAUCCCCGCAGGCCAGGCCGAGGGACCCCACUGGUGCAUA